UGGCCGCUGAUAUGUCUGGUAUUCUUGGGUUCGAUACUCUGAAAAACGAACCAAAGUAGCAGACGUAUCGACGGCCGG
rfam:Caenorhabditis remanei strain PB4641 contig11.17, whole genome shotgun sequence.